rnacentral:rRNA from 1 species
UACGUAGGGGGCAAGCGUUGUCCGGAAUUAUUGGGCGUAAAGAGCGUGUAGGCGGUCCGAUAAGUCCGUUCUGAAAGCCCGGGGGCUCAACCCCGGGAGGCGGGCGGAUACUGUCGGGCUAGAGUCCGGGAGAGGCAAGUGGAAUUCCCGGUGUAGCGGUGAAAUGCGCAGAUAUCGGGAGGAACACCAAUGGCGAAGGCAGCUCGCUGGGACGGUACUGACGCUGAGACGCGAAAGCGUGGGGAGCAAACAGG